UACGGGGGGAGCAAGCGUUGUUCGGAUUUACUGGGCGUAAAGGGCGCGUAGGCGGCCACUGCAAGUCGGUUGUGAAAUCUCCGGGCUUAACCCGGAAAGGUCAAUCGAUACUGCAGGGCUAGAGUGCGGAAGGGGCAACUGGAAUUCUCGGUGUAGCGGUGAAAUGCGUAGAUAUCGAGAGGAACACCGGUGGCGAAGGCGGGUCUCUGGGCCGAUACUGACGCUGAGGAGCGAAAGCGUGGGGAGCAAACAGG
rnacentral:rRNA from 1 species